GACUAACGCUGGCGGCGUGCUUAACACAUGCAAGUCGAACGGAAAGGCCCUGCUUUUGUGGGGUGCUCGAGUGGCGAACGGGUGAGUAACACGUGAGUAACCUGCCCUUGACUUUGGGAUAACUUCAGGAAACUGGGGCUAAUACCGGAUAGGAGCUCCUGCUGCAUGGUGGGGGUUGUAAAGUUUCGGCGGUUGGGGAUGGACUCGCGGCUUAUCAGCUUGUUGGUGGGGUAGUGGCUUACCAAGGCUUUGACGGGUAGCCGGCCUGAGAGGGUGACCGGCCACAUGGGGACUGAGGUAGGGCCCAGACUCCUACGGGAGGCAGCAGUGGGGAAUAUUGCACAAUGGGCGGAAGCCUGAUGCAGCAACGCCGCGUGCGGGAUGACGGCCGUCGGGUUGUAAACCGCUUUCGCCUGUGACGAAGCGUGAGUGACGGUAAUGGGUAAAGAAGCACCGGCUAACUACGAG
rnacentral:rRNA from 1 species